rfam:Pteropus alecto contig6856, whole genome shotgun sequence.
GUCUAUGGCCAUGCCACCCUGAAUAAGCCUGAUCCUGUCUGAUCUCAGAAGCUAAGCGGGGUAGGGCCUGGUUAGUACUUGGAUGGGAGACCACCCAGGAAGACCAGGUGCUGUAGUUG